AUGUGUCUAAGGAGAAGGCUGACGAUCAUAUUGCUCUGCCUAGCAAGCAAAUUGAUGUUGCUCCAUCUAACCAUCCAAAUGAGAGUGUUCUCUUACAGGACGGUGGUGUCUCUGCUGAAGGGGCAGGGCAACUUACUAUGCAAGGGCCGCAAAAUGUAUGGUUGUUCUGCAGGACCACCACGUAGGUCAAAAAGGUUGAAUGUGAUUCAGGUUACGGACCAACGUGAUGAUGAAGAUGGAGACUGCAACAAUGGUGAGCAAUUACCACAAGGUCAUUAA
rnacentral:rRNA from 1 species